GCACUCCAGCCUGGGCAACAGAGCAAGACUCCAUCUCAAAAUAAUAAUAAUAAUGAUAUUAUAAUAAUAAAUUUGGGGACUUUCCAAAUAGGUGACUGGACAGGUAAAGAUGGAGUGGGGGUGGACCAAGAGUAAACCCUGUGUCCUUGCAGGGCUCUGCCUGAGCGACUGGGCCCAGGGCUCCCUUAGAUCCCUGCACUUUACUGCUGACCUGUGGCUCCUAUGAAAUUGGCUCCUGUUAAGCAGGAGACUCUGGUUGCUAGUCAUGGUGGUGACAGUUCUAAUUCCUUCUCCCUAGCUUCGCUCUUACCCUGGGAUACCUAGAGGUAGAGAAUAAUUCAGAAAGUUGUCAGAAACACUGGGAGCAAUGUUUACUUGUAUGGAAGAGCACUGGACUCCCUAGAGAACACAGGAUCUGUAAGGUAUGACCCGAGGAGAAAGAUACAGCAAACCUGUUUUCCCAUCUGUGAAAUAAAGGGGUUGAGCUAGAUGGUUUUUAGUGGCUUCUCUGUUUCUAAUCUGCUCAGUCUGUAAGAGUUUGUAAGCAUUUUGUUAUUGAAGUGAUCAACAUUCAAACUGUAGGCAAAAGGUGUUUUUAUCACGUAAUUCUUUCAGCACAGAUAACAGGUAUUCUCUGUAUAAAAUUGCAUGACUCUCUUUGUGGACACUAUCAAAUUGAGGUAGUAAAUUACCAUUGCAGCAAAGUCUGGUUGGGAUGCCAUAGAGUGUGUUCUCCCAUAGAGUAGCCAAUAGUCACAUGUAGCUGUUAACAUUAAAAUUAGUUAAAAUAAAAUUAAAAAUUCAAUUUCUCAGUCAUAUUAGCUACAUUUCAAGUGAUCAAAAUGCACACAUCUUCUCUUUCCAGUACAGUUCUCAAUUGGACAGAGCAGAUAUGUGCAUUUCCAUCAUCACAGGAAGUUCUACUGCACAGCACUGGUUUGGAGUGCACCCCUGCCCUCAGAUGAGAGUUGUAUAGUUAGGGAGCUGCUAAGGACCCACCCAUCUCUAAGGCUGAGUGAUUCUGUGACUUUGUGUUGGGAAGAUCAUAUUCCUGCUCUUUCUUUGCUGAAAAGGUUUUUGGUUUCCAAAAGUACUGAGGUUGGUGGAGAGGUACAAAACAACUGCAGGGAGUUCCUGUCUGCCUGAGGAGAUCAUCAUUCACCUCAAGAAUUACAGUGAGAAUAAGAGAAGAUGAAAUGAUACUGAAAAGCCGUUUAAAAAGUUGAAGAGUUAUGCGUAUAAAGCAAGAUGAUUGUUAAGUGAAUGCAUUAGAUAUAAAGGCCACUUGCUCCUGGACCCUCCUUGACUUCCAUCCCUCUAAGCCAAUCAAAAUGAAGUUGGAAGUGAUGGGGUUUGGUUGCCAUUGGCAACUGAUUGUCUACUUUGUCCAAGCUCUGGCAACCUGGGUUAGAUAAACUAUGAGAAAGUUCUCAUAGAGCAAGCAAUAUUGGCUUCUGCUGGUUUGAGUCAUGUUUACCUUGGCUUUAAGGGAGUCCCCAGAAUGCUGAAGACCAGACUGAGUUUCUUUACGUGAUGGCAGAAGUGUUGAAAGAGAACGAGAGCGGAAGCUGCAACACCUCUUGAAGUUGAGGCCUAGAAGUCACACAGCAUCUCUUCUGCUCUACUGGAUUGGUCAAAGCAAGUCAUGGGCUAGUUCAGACUGAGGGGGUAGCAAAAUAGACCCUACCUCUUGGUGGGAAAAAAGGCAGUCACAUUGUAAAGGAGUGGGCACAUAAGGAUAGAAGGACUUGAUUUGGCUAUCUUAUAAACAACCUACCACAGAAGGA